AAUGUGUCUCGCCUUUUGGCUAAGAUCAAGAGUAGUAUCUCUUCUUAUCAACUUAAUAUCUGAUACAUCCUCUAUCUGAGGACAGUAUACGAAAUGGAUUUGGGGGAAGCCUGAAAUAGAAUAGGAACUUUCUCUGUCCGUUCCAUACACCGACCUGAUAUUGCAGUACUUCCAGAAACAGUGCACAAAAA